GUCAAGAACCACUCGGGACCAAAAUCAGCAUCAAAGGCUGCUGAGAACUGUAUUUUUUGCAGUUUUAAGCUUCAAUUCGAUAAACUGUUUUCCUUGUGCGACUCGUCAUGUGCUAAGCAAACAUUGUAGCAACAAGGGUCCUCACCGAAUGCAAAUCCUACUCAGCAUUUUGUGGUUUUAAUCGCUGUUUGAUCAACAGGUUGCGGUCCAUUCUUCAGGGGUGAUAGCGAAGCAAGGAUUUUCCUCUUGCCAAAGAGCGCUAAGUUCAUUGGAGGGAUCUGACAUGAGUAGGGUUAAUGCAAUCUAAGAUGAGGACACAAGCGGCACAUGCAGGCCAACAGCCCCAUCACCAUUAUUGGGGCCUUGAAAGUGGCACUGUGACUUCAGCCAAACAAAACUUGCGGAAGAUGGACAUACGCAAUCAUGGUGUGACGCGGCCUUGACCAUACUUUAAGUUGGAAAGUCUUCCCGUCCGUGUACUUGAUUGGCAAUAUGACAUGCUUAAAGCGAGAGUUUCUCAUUGCAUCAGAAUAAACUCUUCUUUGUUUUCAAUUUUUUUUUGUUUCUUUGCUCUUGUUUUGUUUUCUGGUUCACCGUUCACCUUUACUGCGCUGAAUACAAGUUUGCAAGAGUAUGAUGAGCUCAGAAUUUUCUAGUCCUAAAGUGGUUUAAACAUGGUGAUACUCGGAAUCUAAUGCUUGUGUAUUUCCUUGAUUUGUCUCUUAAGGUUGAAAUAAAGACAUUGUUCACCAGGAGAGACAGUCUUUCGUGCAGAUGGGAAGCCAACGGAAAAAGAAAGGCACUUUUUCUGCUCUGCAACAUGACAGCGAUAUAACAUGCAAAACAAACAUCCGACAUUGCACGAGUGCUUUUCUGCAGCAAAGUACAGCAGGAGCUUUAUCUCAACUAGUGUCAAGAGUCGAUGACUUUCUCUUUAGUAUCGGUUGACUGCGUCCCUUCAUUUCUAGAAAACUUAUGCGGUACACUGCAAAAUAAUUCUGUUUGAGGCAGGUCCUUUGG
rnacentral:lncRNA from 1 species